UGUCUGUGGAGCCCUGCCGCGUGCGUGAUGACGGCCUUCGGGUUGUAAAGCACUUUCGUCGGGGAGGACAGGUACAAUGUUUAUACGUUCGUUCCUUGACGGUACCCGCAAAAAAAGCCCCGGCUAACUCCCUGCCAGCAGCCGCGAUAAUA
rnacentral:rRNA from 1 species